rnacentral:rRNA from 1 species
GAUCAUGGCUCAGGAUGAACGCUAGCGGCAGGCUAACACAUGCAAGUCGAGGGGCAGCGUGGAGUAGCAAUACUCUGACGGCGACCGGCGAAAGGGUGAGUAACGCGUGAGCAACAUGCCCGGUACUGGGGGGAUAGUCGAUGGAAACGUCGCGUAAUACCCCGUAACAACAGAGGCCGCAUGACCUUUGUUUAAGAGAUUUAUUGAUACCGGAUUGGCUCGCGUACCAUUAGCUAGUUGGCGGGGUAACGGCCCACCAAGGCGACGAUGGUUAGGGGUUCUGAGAGGAAGGUCCCCCCACAUUGGAACUGAGACACGGUCCAGACUCCUACGGGAGGCAGCAGUGAGGAAUAUUGGUCAAUGGCCGAGAGGCUGAACCAGCCAUGCCGCGUGCGGGAUGACGGCCCUAUGGGUUGUAAACCGCUUUUGUUGGGGAGCAAUAAGGUUCACGUGUGGACUGAUGAGAGUACCCAGCGAAUAAGCAUCGGCUAACUCCGUGCCAGCAGCCGC